rnacentral:lncRNA from 1 species
UUACAUAAGGGGUUCAAGGUUUCGGUGCUGCAGGAUUUCAGCUACCAAGUCUUGCAGCAAGCUACAAGCCGAGGCCAACUUCAGUGCUUGCUGGGCAUUAUCUUUUGUUUGAGUAAUCUUUAAAAUGACUUUUUGAGGAGUUGCAGAUGGCUCUCUGUGUAGGUAAACUUGUUGAAUGGUUCCUGCAAUAAAUGCUUAUGCUAGUAGCAGCGGCUGCUCGAUGUAAACAAGUCUCAUUAAUUUUAGUUUACAGCCACAAGGUUGUUCACGCGACACCAGCAUAACAGUAUGAUGGCAAGUUCAAGAAGCAUUAUUAGCACAUAACGGUGCAGUUUCAGUACAAAUGUUGCGAAAACUUCUAGAAUAUUAGUAGCCUCCAGUUUUGACCCUUAAUAUGUCAAGCAAAAUAAUACAAUGAACAGCAACACCUCGCCUGCAUAUUAGUCCUUUUGCUGUAAUGGCCUUAAACUCGCUCGUAUAACUGCAGUAAUGGCUAGUUCUAGAUGCCCAUUGAUUGGCCUGUAAGGCAUCUUGAAUAAAUGAAAUGCCCGAUGCAACAUCCAGAAAACUUGUUCGAAACCCAUGCAUUGCUAUUAGAACCUGUGUCCCAUGU